AAAAAAAAACCAAAAAAAAUUGGUA
rnacentral:sRNA from 1 species